ACGAACGCUGGCGGCGUGCCUAAUACAUGCAAGUCGAGCGAAGUUUUUCUGGUGCUUGCACCGGAAAACCUUAGCGGCGAACGGGUGAGUAACACGUAAAGAACCUGCCUCAUAGACUGGGACAACUAUUGGAAACGAUAGCUAAUACCGGAUAAUAGCAUUAACUGCAUGGUUGAUGUUUAAAAGUUGGUUUUGCUAACACUAUGAGAUGGCUUUGCGGUGCAUUAGCUAGUUGGUGGGGUAAAGGCCUACCAAGGCGACGAUGCAUAGCCGACCUGAGAGGGUGAUCGGCCACACUGGGACUGAGACACGGCCCAGACUCCUACGGGAGGCAGCAGUAGGGAAUCUUCCGCAAUGGGCGAAAGCCUGACGGAGCAACGCCGCGUGAGUGAAGAAGGAUUUCGGUUCGUAAAGCUCUGUUGUUAGGGAAGAAUGAUUGUGUAGUAACUAUACACAGUAGAGACGGUACCUAACCAGAAAGCCACGGCUAACUACGUG
rnacentral:rRNA from 1 species